GUUUUUAUUUCCAGUUAAUCAUUUAAUGCUUCAAUUUACACUGAAUGUGUCAGGAUUCAGGCUCGGAGACAGAGGUAAGUGAUGAACUUAAACUUUCUUUAUUAAUAAACAAGGGAAGUAUUCAGGGUUUCAGGUGCUCAGAAGUGCUCUUGAAGGAGGAUACGUGGCAGGAAUACAUCCAGGUGAGUGAAUCCUCUUCUUAGGAAUUACAUGAACGGUGACACAAGGCAAUGACUUUCCUUUUCUCACUUUCAGAUCGUCGUGGAGCAGACGGAGGACAGACAGGAUUCCAGAUCAUCCAGUAGAGGGACGAGACUCAUGGCAGAAUCCAGGACACAGGGAACGAGAAUCAUGGAGCAGAUCCUGGGAACAUCAGAACAAGGACCGAGCGGUUAGUCUUUACAGAUGGAGAGUUUUACAUAGAGUGAAUCCUGUUGCUCAUCCGGACAGACUCUCUCCUGCUAUGCUCCACUACAGUACUGUCUGUGGCUCUCCGCUCCCCUGGCUUUCAGCUGGCCUGACCUCCAGCAGUAAUUCUACUCUUACAUGUAGGCUGAAUCGAUUCCAGAGCGCCAGCACAGCUAAUUCAAGGUCAUUUUCACGUUAUUUCAUUCUCCGGCUGCACUGGGCCAAUCUUUGCUAGCCUUUCCCAGCAAGGGACUAUGGGGCUCGUUUGAGUCAGCCAACAUGUCAUAAAUAUAUCACCUUGGAGGAUUUGUGACAUAUCUUUUCUUUGUCCUCAAG